GAUGAACGCUAGCGGCAGGCUUAAUACAUGCAAGUCGAGGGACAGCACAGGUAGCAAUACUGGGUGGUAACCGGCAAACGGGUGCGGAACACGUACACAACCUUCCUUUAAGUGGGGGAUAGCCCAGAGAAAUUUGGAUUAAUACCCCGUAAUAUAGUUGAGUGGCAUCAUUUGAUUAUUAUAGCUACGGCGCUUAAUGAUGGGUGUGCGGCUGAUUAGAUAGUUGGCGGGGUAACGGCCCACCAAGUCUACGAUCAGUAGCUGAUGUGAGAGCAUGAUCAGCCACACGGGCACUGAGACACGGGCCCGACUCCUACGGGAGGCAGCAGUAAGGAAUAUUGGUCAAUGGACGCAAGUCUGAACCAGCCAUGCCGCGUGAAGGAUUAAGGUCCUCUGGAUUGUAAACUUCUUUUAUUUGGGACGAAAAAGGGCCUUUCUAGGUCAACUGACGGUACCAGAUGAAUAAGCGCCGGCUAACUCCGUGCCAGCAGCAGCCGCAGUAA
rnacentral:rRNA from 1 species